CCCUGGCAGUCAGAGGCGAUGAAGGACGUGCUAAUCUGCGAUAAGCGUCGGUAAGGUGAUAUGAACCGUUAUAACCGGCGAUUUCCGAAUGGGGAAACCCAGUGUGUUUCGACACACUAUCAUUAACUGAAUCCAUAGGUUAAUGAGGCGAACCGGGGGAACUGAAACAUCUAAGUACCCCGAGGAAAAGAAAUCAACCGAGAUUCCCCCAGUAGCGGCGAGCGAACGGGGAGCAGCCCAGAGCCUGAAUCAGUAUGUGUGUUAGUGGAAGCGUCUGGAAAGGCGCGCGAUACAGGGUGACAGCCCCGUACACAAAAAUGCACAUGCUGUGAGCUCGAUGAGUAGGGCGGGACACGUGGUAUCCUGUCUGAAUAUGGGGGGACCAUCCUCCAAGGCUAAAUACUCCUGACUGACCGAUAGUGAACCAGUACCGUGAGGGAAAGGCGAAAAGAACCCCGGCGAGGGGAGUGAAAAAGAACCUGAAACCGUGUACGUACAAGCAGUGGGAGCACGCUUAGGCGUGUGACUGCGUACCUUUUGUAUAAUGGGUCAGCGACUUAUAUUCUGUAGCAAGGUUAACCGAAUAGGGGAGCCGAAGGGAAACCGAGUCUUAACUGGGCGUUAAGUUGCAGGGUAUAGACCCGAAACCCGGUGAUCUAGCCAUGGGCAGGUUGAAGGUUGGGUAACACUAACUGGAGGACCGAACCGACUAAUGUUGAAAAAUUAGCGGAUGACUUGUGGCUGGGGGUGAAAGGCCAAUCAAACCGGGAGAUAGCUGGUUCUCCCCGAAAGCUAUUUAGGUAGCGCCUCGUGAAUUCAUCUCCGGGGGUAGAGCACUGUUUCGGCAAGGGGGUCAUCCCGACUUACCAACCCGAUGCAAACUGCGAAUACCGGAGAAUGUUAUCACGGGAGACACACGGCGGGUGCUAACGUCCGUCGUGAAGAGGGAAACAACCCAGACCGCCAGCUAAGGUCCCAAAGUCAUGGUUAAGUGGGAAACGAUGUGGGAAGGCCCAGACAGCCAGGAUGUUGGCUUAGAAGCAGCCAUCAUUUAAAGAAAGCGUAAUAGCUCACUGGUCGAGUCGGCCUGCGCGGAAGAUGUAACGGGGCUAAACCAUGCAC
rnacentral:rRNA from 1 species